UGAACGCUGGCGGCGUGCCUAAUACAUGUAAGUCGAGCGAACAGACGAGGAGCUUGCUCCUCUGACGUUAGCGGCGGACGGGUGAGUAACACGUGGAUAACCUACCUAUAAGACUGGGAUAACUUCGGGAAACCGGAGCUAAUACCGGAUAAUAUAUUGAACCGCAUGGUUCAAUAGUGAAAGACGGUUUUGCUGUCACUUAUAGAUGGAUCCGCGCCGCAUUAGCUAGUUGGUAAGGUAACGGCUUACCAAGGCAACGAUGCGUAGCCGACCUGAGAGGGUGAUCGGCCACACUGGAACUGAGACACGGUCCAGACUCCUACGGGAGGCAGCAGUAGGGAAUCUUCCGCAAUGGGCGAAAGCCUGACGGAGCAACGCCGCGUGAGUGAUGAAGGUCUUCGGAUCGUAAAACUCUGUUAUUAGGGAAGAACAAAUGUGUAAGUAACUAUGCACGUCUUGACGGUACCUAAUCAGAAAGCCACGGCUAACUACGUG
rnacentral:rRNA from 1 species